rnacentral:sRNA from 1 species
UAUGCUGUGAGAAGUGAGGAGAGUGGUUACCUUUGGUGGUGGAGGUGGGCUGGAAGGGGUUCUCGGGAGCUUCCUGAAGCACUGGCUGUGCUUUUUUCCUUGAUCAGUGUGCUGGCUAUGGGGGUGUGCUCAGUUUGUGAAAAUUCUUCAAUCUGUGCACUUAGGAUUUGUGUACUUUUCUGUAUGAAUGUUAUGGUUGCAUAAAGCAUUCCAUUUAAAACAAAACAAAAAGUAAAGUAGUUUGUCCAAACAUUAUUUAACCAAAGACUACUAUCAGCCGUUCUGAUUUUCUGUCCAAUGCUCUUCAACUGCUGACCCCAAAUAUGGGCUCUUUGUCCUAGAAAGGGGAAUAUGGAAGCCCUGUCUCUCCUUUCGUCAUCUCUUUCACCCAGGUGUACAAGAGCAGAACCCGGCAUUGAGUAUUUUGAAGAUGGAGCCAAUGUCCCUGGUCUGCCCCUGCCUCGGCCUCCCCCACCACCUCUGGCAUCCAUACCUGCGGUGGGUGCUGUAACGGCAUCUGGGCUUUGUCAUCUCCUUUGCAGAACAUCGUAGCUGUGGGAGCUGGGUUCUGCGACGGCCUCCGCUGUGGAGACAACACCAAAGCGGCCGUCAUCCGCCUGGGACUCAUGGAAAUGAUUGCUUUUGCCAGGAUCUUCUGCAAAGGCCAAGUGUCUACAGCCACCUUCCUAGAGAGCUGCGGGGUGGCCGACCUGAUCACCACCUGUUACGGAGGGCGGAACCGCAGGGUGGCCGAGGCCUUCGCCAGAACUGGGAAGACCAUUGAAGAGUUGGAGAAGGAGAUGCUGAAUGGGCAAAAGCUCCAAGGACCGCAGACUUCUGCUGAAGUGUACCGCAUCCUCAAACAGAAGGGACUACUGGACAAGUUUCCAUUGUUUACUGCAGUGUAUCAGAUCUGCUACGAAAGCAGACCAGUUCAAGAGAUGUUGUCUUGUCUUCAGAGCCAUCCAGAGCAUACAUAAAGUGAAUCAUGCAACGUGUUGGGGGAAGUUCUGCCUUUCUGAUCAAUCUUUUGGGUUCACGUGGAAACCAGGACUUGGCAACAUGAUGUUUGACUGUAAUCUCAUCACGGAUAUGUAUGAAUUUUUACAGGUUCGUUUUUGAAUUGUGAGAGGCAGUUCAUUAGCAAAGAUGUACUGGGCAGUAACUAAACACACAUGCAAACAUGUGAAUGGUGGUUUAUUCCUCAUUCUGUGGAUGUUUCUAUGAGCCAAAAUUUGAUGUCUUUUUUUCAAAAUUGCUUAUGAAAUUUCCACACAAUCAUAGCUUAUAAGAUUGGAACGAUCUCAGCUAAAUUUUUUAGGUGUAAUUCAUAUGUAUUUGAGUGGAGGAUUUUUUUUCUCAUUUUUCUAGUGUUAAAUUUUAACCAGCAUUAACAUGGUAGAGUGGAGGAGUGAGUGUGUUCAAAGAUCAACAUAUUUAACUUUUAAACACUAUCUCAAAGCCAGCAUAAUUAACUACUUUGAUUGUGGGCUGACCUUUGUUUUUUUAACAAUCAGGCAUUUUUAAUUAGAUAAUCCACUCAUGUAUUUCCCCCUCACUGCAGUUGUCUGCAUUUUUAGCCUCUUUUCUCUUCGUUAGUUGUCAGAAUAUGCCUUCGUCAAGGCUCAGAGGUAACAAGACAGAAAAUUUAUCUGGGAUUUUCCUGCUGUGGCUGGCACAUUCUUCUGAUUAACAGACACUUGUAUGAUGCUUUAGGCUAGUUAGUGCAUUUUUUAGCAAACAUUUAUCUUAAACAUCACAGAUCCACUGGGGGGUGCAAGGGGCUACUGUUAGUCCUCUUGUUAGAUGCAGUCACUCCUCCUGGUCACCUAGUGAGCAGGGACAGAGCCAGGAGUCAAGUGCAGUGCCAAGGUGCAUGACCCUCUGAGAAGUCACUGGGCUGAUUUGACCUCCGACUCAUUGGUUGUGCAAAUGCCAUGUGCAGCCUUUCCUGAGGCCAUAGGAGGGCUUCCUGCAGCUGAGAUCUAUGCAGGCCAUCCUCUCAACAGGUGCCACUCCAAGGGCGGUCCUCGGUGCAGCAGCAUCAGCUUCACUUGUGGGGGGGUGGGGGAAGGGGCGGUCUCAGAAAUGCAGGUUCCCAGGUCCCACCCUGGACUUCUGAAGGGGUGUGGCAUCUGUGUUUCUGAUGCUUACUACAAUAUGUGAACCACUACUUUAGAAAAUCUGCUUUAACUUGGCAUUCCUCUAAUUGUGUUCCCUAGGAAAUGACUGUCCCAAGAGCCAGUGAUUAUUCCAGGUGUUCCCUGGAAAGGUCAAGUGAGUCUGGGAAACACUAUGUCUGUACACCUCUUGAAGGUGUCGAAUGUAUGUUUAUACAUCAGUGGAACCCAUUUUUCUAGCCUAGCAAGUCCCAAACACAUUACGCUGAAGAGAUUUUGGUGAGGAGACUUGCUGGAGUUUUCAGGGAACACUGUUCUAGGCUUAGGUGACCUUAGGAUCACUCAAGUAGACCCUUCACUCCCUGCGAGAAAUUAGGAUGAAUAACUACCUGUGGCAUUGUUGGUUCUGAACUUUUACAGUUCAGGCCUGCUGUGAAUCUUUGAUGAAGCUUUAAGGUGACACUGUUGUACAAGAUGUCAGCUUUGCUGAAACGCACAUUACCUGGAAUAAGUGCUUUAAUUGUAGAAUUAGAAUGGGAUUUACUGUACUGUUUUAAAUGAGAUUGGCUUCAGAAUCCAUUACAGUUACCUUACAUAGCACUUGAUACGUGUUAAAGGAACAUAUGAAUGUAAUUUAUAUAUUCCUAGAAUUUAAGUUACUUUGUGAGAUUUGGGCCUGUCCCUCAACGCCAGUUUAGGAUUUCUUUUUUUCUAUACCUUGAAAUGAUUAUAAAAUAGAUUUUCAUGGGAAUUUUAAAAACUCUAUCCAAAACAUUUUUGGAGCAUUUUAAAGCCCCAUACACAGAAGUAUACGAAAGCACACAAAACACUCCAAGUUUCAGCAGUUUUAGCGCCACCAUUAACCCACUUUGCUUGUCUCAUGAAAAAUCUUUGUUAAAGUUUGUACACAGGUAACAAAAAGUUACUUUAAAAGAUAUAUAAAGGGCUGUAAGCUAAUUGUGGUGUCUAGUAAGUAGCAUAAUGAGAUGUGAGGAGUUGGAACUUUGCGUGUUUUGCGUAUUUUCAUCUGCAUUCAGCUUCUUACUCUGGGUUUGUACUCGAGUGUUAUUUCUUUACAAAUGCCCUUGUAAUUACCACUCUGAAGUCUGCUGACUGUGUCUCUUGAAGAUACUUAGGAUAUUCUGCACAUUAUGGAAAAAGGUAAAUUUUAGAAAUUUCUGCUCUACUAACUGUAGAUAUUUAUGACUCUGCGAGUUAUCUAUUUUUAUAACCACCUGUGGUCCAUUGUUCAUUUUAAUUCACAUUUCUUAUGAAGUAUGGUAACAGGGAGGGAGACACCUAGAUUAGCAGCUCAAUUUGUACUACUUCAGCCAAUCUGUGAAUGUAAAAACUACACUGUUGCCUUGCUAGGAUCCACCCUCCUAUAAUAUGGAACAAAUAUCUGAAUGAAAUCCACCCUAGGAGACGGAAUCAAACUAAACUUGUGGUUUUUCAUUUAACUUUUGACUACAGCAUGGCCCCAUGGCAUCCACACCAAGAGGGUGUUGUGAUGAGGUGCCGGUGUGCAAAGUGAACUUUAGUUUUUCCACUGGUUCUUAUCUGCUAGCCUUUUACAUACAUGUGUACUAUAUUUGUUUAUAGACUGUAGGUGGAUAUAUAAUUUAAAAGCUUGAUUUAAUAAACAUUUAACCCCCU